UACGUAGGGAGCAAGCGUUGUCCGGAAUCAUUGGGCGUAAAGAGCGCGUAGGCGGUCCGGUAAGUCCGCUCUGAAAGCCCGGGGCUCAACCCCGGGAGGCGGGCGGAUACUGUCGGGCUAGAGUCCGGAAGAGGCGAGUGGAAUUCCUGGUGUAGCGGUGAAAUGCGCAGAUAUCAGGAGGAACACCGAUGGCGAAGGCAGCUCGCUGGGACGGUACUGACGCUGAGGCGCGAAAGCGUGGGGAGCAAACAGG
rnacentral:rRNA from 1 species